rnacentral:rRNA from 1 species
UACGUAGGGGCCGAGCGUUGUCCGGAGUUAUUGGGCGUAAAGCGCGCGCAGGCGGCCUCGCGCGCCCGACGUGAAAUCCCUCGGCUUAACCGGGGAAUGGCGUCUGAUACUGGAUGGCUUGAAUCCGGGAGAGGGAUGCGGAAUUCCAGGUGUAGCGGUGAAGUGCGUAGAUAUCUGGAGGAACACCGGUGGCGAAGGCGGCAUCCUGGACCGGCAUUGACGCCUGAGGAGCGAAAGCCAGGGGAGCAAACGGG